ensembl:lncRNA
AACCAAAUGGAAAAAUGACCAGUGCUGAGAACUAGCAAUAGGUUUGUGAAUGCGAAAGGGUGUUUUUCCUCUAAAUGUCUACUGAAUAUUAAGCGCCAUCCCCUGGGUGUUGUUUGAAAUGCUCCCGUAGUUUUAUCUCCAUAAUGACUCCAUCAAAUUACCUUAGCUCAGUGUUACAAUUUCUCAGCUCCCUAUAAUCGUCUGGUUCAGAACUCAUCGCAGUGGAGGCCAAAGGUUCCUCCUGCAGAGAGAGGGUGUAACCUGUUAAAAGCAGAGAGAGAGACAAGAGAUGGGAGCUGGUGGAGGGGGCUCUGUUUGUAAUGAGCUUGGCGUGUGUCCAGUCUCGGAGCUGUGAGCUUAAAACUCUCCGUCAGGUUGAGUGAGGUUUCCAGUGAAAUCACUGAGCUGCAAACAAGCCGAUCUUAACAAGAAAAUCUAAAUUCACACCCGUGCUCCAUCGCUUAUGAGAAAGAAGAGAGGAGAGAGAGGAAGAGAGUGCAAAAAUAAAGGAACAGAAAAAGAUUACAAAAAGGUUUUAUGUCAUGUAAAAUGAGAGAUUUAUCCCAUAUUAAAAGAGUUUGCAGGAAUUUCCCAUUGUGCCUUCACUUGGAUCAGACCUGUCUGUUCUGUAAACUCAGUUUAGAGAAGUAUUGUGGGCUUUGAGAUAAAAGAACUGACAGAGAUAAUCUUACACACACACACACACACACACACA